GUGUUAUCCGGAAUUAUUGGGCGUAAAGCGUCUGCAGGUUGAUAUACAAGUCUUUUGUUAAAUUUUCAGGCUUAACCUGAAGUCAGCAAAAGAAACUGUUUAUCUUGAGUAUGGUAGAGGUAAGGGGAAUUUCCAGUGGAGCGGUGAAAUGCGUAGAUAUUGGAAAGAACACCAACAGCGAAGGCACCUUACUGGGCCAUUACUGACACUCAGAGACGAAAGCUAGGGUAGCAAACGGGAUUAGAUACCCCGGUAGUCCUAGCCGUAAACGAUGGAUACUAGAUGUUGCGUACUUUAUAGUAUGCAGUGUCGUAGCUAACGCGUUAAGUAUCCCGCCUGGGAAGUAUGCGCGCAAGCGUGAAACUCAAAGGAAUUGACGGGGGCCCGCACAAGCGGUGGAGCAUGUGGUUUAAUUCGAUGCAACACGAAGAACCUUACCAGGACUUGACAUGAAGAGAAGUUUCUUGAAAGAGAAAUGUGCUACGGCCUCUUACACAGGUGGUGCAUGGCU
rnacentral:rRNA from 1 species